GUCACCGCGGCGGCUGCUCCUCAAGUUCUACUUUGUUCCACAAGGCUCCUCUGCUCACGGCUGCGUGGAUAAAACCCAAAGGGAAUCCAGAAUCAAGCUCGGCCUCGCAGGAGUUUAUAACUUUUGUACUUUUCCCUCCCUUGUAACGAAAAGCUAAUCGCAAACGUUUCUAGGAACACAUUUUUCUCCUGAUAGACGUUCCCAAGGUGGAGGGCGCGAGAAGACUGGCCCGUGGGGUGAGGAGCCCCGGCCCGACCUCAGCGGCGCCACAAAGCCAUGAAGAGGGGAAAUAAUUUUCCAAGGGGCUAAGAGUUGGACUUUCUGAAGCCAUCGAAACCUGCUGCUAGGCUCUCCCGCUGGGGUUUUGAGAGAGGCACAGGGAGAGCUCUCCCUGAAGUUCUGACUGAGGGAAUUCCUUCCAAAAGAAACACAAUUGUCUUCAAUCUCCUGUCUGAAAUCUCACUAACCAGGGAAGAUUAAUCACCAAAGAAGAAAUUAAAGAUUAUCAGCUGGGCCCGGUGGCUCAUGCCUAUAAGCUCAGCACUUUGAGAGGCCAAGGCGGGAGGAUGGCUUGAGCCUAGGAGUCCGAGACCAGCCUGGGCAAUAUAGUGAGACUCCAUCUCUACAAAAAAUAAUAGCUGGGUGAGUUGGUGCACAUCUGUAGUCCCAGCUACUCAGGAGGCUGAGACAGGAGAGUCACUUGAGCUGGGCGGAGGCUGCAGUGAGCUGUGAUCGUGCCACUGCACUUCAGCCAGGGCAACAAAGCAAGACCCCUCAAAAAAAAUUAAAAGAAAAGAUUGUCCCCACAUAGUCCCAGACACACUUUUCAUCUAUUCUUCUGAGGAAUGGUGCCUGAGAGACUUUAUCUGCGUAAUUAGACAGCCUUUGUUCACAGUGCAAUUCUGCCACUAAACUUCUCAUAAAUUGUCACCAUCUCUCUCAGAGCCCAGACUAACUUUGUCCCAGGCUAUUGUCUGUUCUUUGAGCCAAUUCAUCUCCCCUAAAAAUUAUCUAUUCUUCCUCUAAAAUUACCUACAUCCCCUCCUUCCCUCUGCCUUAUGAAGAAGGUAUUUAACCUUCAAUAAUCUGGCCCUUCUUUGAGUUUUAUACUUUGUCUGACUCCCAUGUGCUUGUACAUUUAUAAAUUUGUAUGCCUGUUCUCCCAUUA
rnacentral:lncRNA from 1 species